CCAGAUUGAUGCUGUCGCCCAGACUGAGACUGUGGGGUAAGCUACUGGUGUUGGGGUCCUGUAAGUGAGAGGAGGGUUGGUCCACACAGAUGUGUGGGGUGGUGUGGAGCCGGGAGAGCUCAUCCUCCGGUACACGCAGGAAUCAACUGUGUAAAAGACUUACCGAUGAGCCUGGCCAUGCUGUAGACAGUGAACCUCUGACUGCCGAUGGCUCGUAGUUUCUCACUCUCGAUGUCAACAUCCGACAGGAACCCCCAGCCCACCGACAGGAACGCAAACAUUGUCUGCAACCAGGCAACACAUUUAACCUUGUAGCCCUGAAAUGUCUCCAAUAACCUAAUAGAAAAUUUUGAUAAAGAAACUGAACUCUU